UACAGAGGUCCCGAGCGUUGUUCGGAUUCACUGGGCGUAAAGGGCGCGUAGGCGGCCAUCUAAGUCAGACGUGAAAUCCCCCGGCUUAACCUGGGAACUGCGUCUGAUACUGGACGGCUUGAGUAUGGGAGAGGGAUGUAGAAUUCCAGGUGUAGCGGUGAAAUGCGUAGAUAUCUGGAGGAAUACCGGUGGCGAAGGCGGCAUCCUGGACCAUUACUGACGCUGAGGCGCGAAAGCUAGGGGAGCAAACGGG
rnacentral:rRNA from 1 species